CAAUUUUUCAAAACCCGUUGAUAUCCUCUUCCCAAAAUCUUUUGCUUCUUCCUCAUUCCAAAUCUCUAAAUUUCUUUCUUCGUUUAACUAAGUCCUUACCCGCUUCACCAUAACCCGUUUUUCGUCAACCUCUUCUCACGCGCCACAUCAAUGCUCAACCAGGUCUUCGUUCUCUCCCUUUAUUCCCAAUUGAAUUGCACGAUUCUAUUUUUGUUCAAUUCAAUUUCAUUUCGUUUGUUCUUAUUCCAAUCAGGCACUUCUUCCAUCAAAAAGAGGAUCGAAGAUGUCGUGCGAAUUGCUAACGACCACGAGCGAGAGGAGAUUCAAACCUAUCUCAAGGUAUCUUAGAUUUUUUCCUUGCAUUCAACGAUAUCAAUCAAAUUCAUUAAUAUAACAAUAUCAACUUUUAAAUGAACACAUACAUAUGUGGAAGCUGUUAAUUUUUACAGUGAUUGAGAAAAUACCAUAGGCAAAAAAUUUUGGUCACUUGAAGUCUUUGCAUUAGCUAUGUCUUGAUUCAAUUCUUCCACCUUUUGCUUUAACUCUUGGAUAUACUCUGACGCUUCUAUUAUGAUUGAGGUUUUGUUUAGCUGCCACCACCCAUUAAAAGAACCAGAACUAUCAGGUAGUUCACCAUCUCAAAGCACACCAUGUAAUUGAUAACAAGUAUGUGCUUCAAUCAAAAUAAUCAUAACAAACGCAUUACAUAGAAGACAAUGGAGAUAGCACAAACUGUGUGGAAGAUUAAGUAACUAAG
rnacentral:lncRNA from 1 species